rnacentral:lncRNA from 1 species
GCCGACUUUCAGUCACCAUACAACUUUUAAAACAACAAAAGAUUUCUCUUUGUUUUACAAAAACAUGAUAGUUCCGAGUGAAAUACUGCAUAGAAUUCACGGAAUAACCCUGAUGCACACAGAGAACCACAUUCACUGUUUAAAAACAGUGGAAGAUAUUAACAUAGGAACUAGAGCCGAGAGCCUUCACGAUCAGCCAGCUGCAGGUCAGACCUGAACUACAAACCUGAUCUUAGAUAGGCCAAAGUGCCUACCCUGCCAGCAAGGGGUAGCUGUUAGCCUGGGCACAUUUUUAAUUAAAAACAGGGAGAGAAGACUUAUAAACUUCAGUAAUUUUCUUCCCAAACACGCAGGGAUGCACUUCACUGAACACUCAUUACGUGAGACGUAAUUUUACCUUUAUGUCCUUUACCUACACUGGCAUCGACGGAGGCCACAGCGCACCGCGCUCCUUGAGAAAAUCCCCGGCCUCAGCCCUACUGAGGUCGAAAGUCGGUGACGGAAAGAAAAACGAACGGAGCGGACCGAGGGCGAUGUCCCCGCCGCAGCCCGGUGUGCCCGCCCGCCGGUCCCCGUGCGGGGCGGCGGCGCUCCCGCUCCCGCCCGGGAAACUUUCGGGUUGCGCCGCUCUCCGGCCGGGAGGCGCUGCCCGCCUUCCCCCGGCGCUGCCCCGCAGCCGCCGGAUACGCCGCCUCCAUUCACCGGAGCCCCGCGAGGGGUGCGGGGGGGUGGCGUCCCGGCCCGGCGCUGCCCCCCGGCCGGGCGGCACAAAGCAGCGGCUGUCACACGCACACGAGCAGCAACUCGGGAGGAUGAGGAGGAGCCGCCCCCGAGCCCCCCCGCAACUGGACGUGGCACAACGAACACUCCUCCCGCUCCGGGCCCCCCGUGCCGCCCCCGGCAGGUACCGGCCCCCUCCUGCGCGGGGCGGCCGCGGAGCCUCGGCCGCACAGAUCGCUCAGGAAAAGACCAUUUCCUCUGCCCUCACCCUGAAGAACAGUUUAAUUUACCUUAGGAGUUUCCCAGCAGACCACAGGGAGCCCUGCAGAGGGUCAGGGCUUGAGCAGUGUGUUCCUUGCAGAGCACACAUGGAGCCUGUGGAUACCAGCACCAAAGCGUUCAGCUAAGGACAGAGAAGACAGGCAACAUGUGCCUCUCCUCCUUUCCCAGUUUUGCAUCCUGCUUAUACCAGCUCUGGCCCUAACUGGACCCUCCCUUUGACUCACUAGUGUGGCAUAAAGCUAUGUAGGAUUUGCUGUUGUUUGUUUUCUUCCCGGUUGUUGAACCUGAGGUGACUCUAAUACAAAGCCAGCAUGUGAGUGCUGGUGUCACCAUAAGACACAGAGAGAAACUCUGUGGUGUCAGCGUUGUGAGAGAUGGGU